rnacentral:rRNA from 1 species
CCUACGGGAGGCAGCAGUAGGGAAUCUUCCACAAUGGGCGAAAGCCUGAUGGAGCAACGCCGCGUGGGUGAAGAAGGUCUUCGGAUCGUAAAACCCUGUUGUUAGAGAAGAAAGUGCGUGAGAGUAAAUGUUCACGUUUCGACGGUAUCUAACCAGAAAGCCACGGCUAACUACGUUCAAGCAGCCGCGGUAAUACGGAGGUGGCAAGCGUUAUCCGGAUUUAUUGGGCGUAAAGGGAACGCAGGCGGUCUUUUAAGUCAGAUGUGAAAGCCUUCGGCUUAACCGGGGUAGUGCAUUUGAAACUGGGCGGCUUGAGUGCAGAUGAGGAAGGUGGAAUGUAAGGUGUAGCGGUGAAAUGCGUAGAUAU